AGUGAACGCUGCCGGUAGGCCUAACACAUGCAAGUCGAACGGCAGCACAGGAGAGCUUGCUCUCUGGGUGGCGAGUGGCGGACGGGUGAGGAAUACAUCGGAAUCUACUCUGUCGUGGGGGAUAACGUAGGGAAACUUACGCUAAUACCGCAUACGACCUACGGGUGAAAGCAGGGGACCUUCGGGCCUUGCGCGAUUGAAUGAGCCGAUGUCGGAUUAGUGAGUUGGCGGGGUAAAGGCCCACCAAGGCGACGAUCCGUAGCUGGUCUGAGAGGAUGAUCAGCCACACUGGAACUGAGACACGGUCCAGACUCCUACGGGAGGCAGCAGUGGGGAAUAUUGGACAAUGGGCGCAAGCCUGAUCCAGCCAUACCGCGUGGGUGAAGAAGGCCUUCGGGUUGUAAAGCCCUUUUGUUGGGAAAGAAAUCCAGCUGGCUAAUACCCGGUUGGGAUGACGGUACCCAAAGAAUAAGCACCGGCUAACUUCGUGCCAGCCGCCGCCGUAA
rnacentral:rRNA from 1 species